rnacentral:miRNA from 1 species
GACAUUUAAGCGGGACUGUAGAUCAGGUUUGCCCACUUACUUGAGAAAGACGUUCCAGUGAGGAACCCUGAUCUCUCAGCCUCGAU